UGGCUUAUAUAUGUGCUAAGCUAGUGUGGUGGUUAGAGUUUUCAUGUUGUGGUCCAAUAAUUGAGUUCUUCCACUGUAGUGUUGGAAGUUGGUGGGCUGAGAUUAUAUGAUAGGCUAUUGAUUAAGGAUGUUGGAAUGAAUUUGUUGAUUAUAUGUUUAAUAAGUGUUUCUAGUCAGUUAUGAUUUGAACUUUUUAUUAUUGUAAUGAACUGGGAUGGUAGGAGCUGGUGUUGAAGUUGAAACCCUUAAAAAUAUUUUUUUUUUAAAUCGUAGUUGCAGGACAUGAGUUUUUAGAACUGAACUCUUUAGAUGCUUUCUGAUAAUUGGUUUUCAUGCUUCCCUUUCUGCUGGUUGAGGAAUGUUUCAAGUGAGCUUCUUCGGGGAGAUUUGAAUGUUGUUAUGUUAUUGUUUUGGAAUUAUUUAUUCAUUUGAGGAAAAUUUGGUGGGGCAUUUUUUUUGUUAUAUGAGUUGAUCUAACCGAGAUGAUGAUGUUGUAGGUCAGAUUUCAAGUGGAUUUGUGGAUUUUGAAGUUUUUGUUGACUUUGUAAUAAUUUACAGGCUGAUGUGGGGAAACUUUGGUUGGUUUCAGCAAAAAAAAAAACUUUGGUUAGUUUCCGUUCAUGUUCAGCCUCUGUGUUAAUUUAAAAUUUGUUAAUCAUAUCAAUUUAUGAAUAUACGGUGAGGGUGGGGUGUGUCUGAUUUUUCCAGUGGUGGUGUCAUCGGUUUUUAUUAGAUCAUUGUCAGUGAAUGUGAAGUUGUCGAGCUAUGUGUAAACCGUAAUACCAUAUGGCCAUACGCAGAAGUUUAAAUUUAAUUUGCUAUGAGGACAGUGUAUUUAUGAUAACAUAACUAAUUGUUUGUUUAUUUUUGUAGUCAAAGAUUCGUAAAAACAUUUGAAAAAUGUUAAGAAA
rnacentral:lncRNA from 1 species